rnacentral:snRNA from 1 species
UCUCGGUCUUGUCGUGCGCGU